UACGAAGGGGGGCUAGCGUUGCUCGGAAUCACUGGGCGUAAAGCGCACGUAGGCGGAUUGUUAAGUCAGGGGUGAAAUCCUGGAGCUCAACUCCAGAACUGCCUUUGAUACUGAGAAGCUUGAGUCCGGGAGAGGUGAGUGGAACUGCGAGUGUAGAGGUGAAAUUCGUAGAUAUUCGCAAGAACACCAGUGGCGAAGGCGGCUCACUGGCCCGGUACUGACGCUGAGGUGCGAAAGCGUGGGGAGCAAACAGG
rnacentral:rRNA from 1 species